rnacentral:rRNA from 1 species
GACGAACCGUCCAAACGUUGUUCGGAAUCACUGGGCUUAAAGGGCGCGUAGGCGGUCGGCCAAGUCCGGGGUGAAAUCUUUCGGCUCAACCGGAAAACAGCUUUGGAUACUGGCUGACUUGAGGGAGGUAGGGGCAUGUGGAACUCUCGGUGGAACGGUGAAAUGUGUUGAUAUCGGGAGGAACACCGGUGGCGAAAGCGACGUGCUAGACCUCUUCUGACGCUGAGGCGCGAAAGCUAGGGGAGCAAACGGG